AAGAGUGUAGUUUAAUGGUAAAAUAAGAAGCUUCAACCUUCUUUUUCAUGGUUCAAGUCCGUGUACUCUUG
rnacentral:tRNA from 1 species